AUGUCGGGAGGGGGGAAGGGAGGAAGGGUAGGGUGAUAGGGACAAAAAUAGAGUGUGUGUAGGAAGGACUUCAACACCGUUUGGAAAAGAAGCAGAAGGGAAAGGAAGAGAAGAUGGAGAGAAAGGAGAAGAGGAGGUGGGGUAGGGAAGCAACGGAUGGCAAGCUGGGAGAGUAAAAAGGGAUGCCUUACUUAUAGCUAGAAAUGAUGUAUGUCCUCACCUGGUGGAGGGCCAGAUCAUCCCAGAAUUCUCAGCAUCCUGCCUGCCAGUGUUUUAACUUCACUGCACAAAGGACCUGUGUUUGAAUCCUGACUGUUAUUUACUUCCUGUGUGGCUUUGAACACAUUGGUACCUGCCUCAAGGGCCACAGAUUUCUCACAGGUA
rnacentral:lncRNA from 1 species